ACUUCAUCAAACGGAAAAGGUUUUACGUAAAGUAGAUUAAUAGGGAAUCGUGUGAAAAUCACGAGCUGUCGCGCAACUGUAAGUAAUACUCUAAAGGUUUUUAUCCACGUAUAUCCACUGUGCAAACGGGAAGGAUGAUAAAAGCUGUUACAAGUCAGGAGACCUGCCUGUUCCGAAUUGACAAUG
rnacentral:ncRNA from 17 species